rnacentral:rRNA from 1 species
UAGGGAAUCUUCGGCAAUGGGGGGAACCCUGACCGAGCAACGCCGCGUGAGUGAAGAAGGUUUUCGGAUCGUAAAGCUCUGUUGUUAAGGAAGAACGAGUGUGAGAAUGGAAAGUUCAUGCUGUGACGGUACUUAACCAGAAAGGGACGGCUAACUACGUGCCAGCAGCCGCGGUAAUACGUAGGUCCCGAGCGUUGUCCGGAUUUAUUGGGCGUAAAGCGAGCGCAGGCGGUUAGAAAAGUCUGAAGUGAAAGGCAGUGGCUCAACCAUUGUAGGCUUUGGAAACUGUUUAACUUGAGUGCAGAAGGGGAGAGUGGAAUUCCAUGUGUAGCGGUUAAAUGCGUAGAUAUAUGGGGGAACACCGGUGGCGAAAGCGGCUCUCUGGUCUGUAACUGACGCUGAGGCUCGAAAGCGUGGGGAGCGAACAGG